CAUUGGAGGCCAUUGCGCUCCUGCACACACACACACACACACACACACACACACAUAUAUUAAUAAGCACUACUUAAUGGUUCCUAAAAGGUUUGUAGUUUGGUUUUGUAUUAAGGGUUCGUAAAAUGUAUUUCCCAAUUCAAAUGAUUUAGAGUAAUGCUAUUAGCCAUUAGCAUGCAUGUUUAGUAUAAUUGAUAAAAAUAAUAAACACGAUCUGAAAAUACGAUUACAGCAAACACAAUUAAAGCAAUGAAUAAUUAUUAUUAUAAAUAGAAAUCAGAUGAAUGAAUGUUACUAUAGUAACAGUGCAGUAACAUAAACAUACAGAAAUACAUCAAAGUAAUAAAGAACUUACAGAUGGCUUUUAAUGUGUGUGUGUGUGUGUGUGUGUGUGUGUGUGUAUUUUACCUCCUCAGUGUGUGAUGAAAGUUUGAAGUGUCCGAGUCCCGAGUGUGUGCAGUAUAAUCCGCUCCACAGUGGUGUGUGUGUGUUUAAGUUCAGUGUGUGUGUAAGGUGCAGAUUACCUGAGCUCUUCUCACCUGCGACCUUUAUAGCCUGACGACACACAGAGGGCGGAGCUUAGGGAAGGAGGGAAAUUCCACAGAAUCAGAACAUGACCACACCCCCCUCUUCCGUUCUGUCUGUCUGUCUUUCUACCUGUCUGUCUCCAUCUGUCUGUAUCUCUCAGUUUGAAUCAUAUUUCUGGAUUUUGAUGACAGCGAGGGUGUGUGUACAUGUAGCCAGAGGUGACGGUGGUGAGGAAAAACUCCCUGAGACGAUAUGAGGAAGAAACCUCGAGAGGAACCAGACUCAGAAGGGAACCCUUCUGGGUGACACCAGAUAGUGCGAUUAUAAAUAAAUACACCCCUUCUAUAAAUGUGCUAAUACUACAUGCUCUAAUAGUGCAGUUGUGUAACCAGAAAAUUCAUUACAGUUUCUACAGGAAGUCUGUUUUGUUGAACUUCUCCACUGGUCACUGAUGGAGACUCGAGUGCAGAACUGUUUGUGGUGAUUGUAGUUCUAAAGCUAUCAUAGUAUAUCUGUUCAUAUGAACUGAGGUCCAGAGCAUCUUUAUGGUGUUUAAGUGGAACCGUCCUCAGUAAUCUCAGUGAUCUUUAGACUGCACCAUGUGGGACAUCCUCAGCAGCAGCAUGUGACUUCCAACUGAUGAGAACUCCAACCAGAAGUAGGACAUCAGGAUGGAUCAGGCAGGUCCGGAGAGCAGAAGGGGUCAGGGUCAGGAUUGUUUUUUACAUGCGUUCUUGUCUGAACUACUGAAUUACUGAACUUCUGAAAUACUGAACUACUGAAUUACUAAACUACUGAACUGCUGAAUUACUGAACUACUGAAAUACUGAACUACUGAACUACUGAAUUACUAAACUACUGAACUGCUGAAUUACUGAACUACUGAAUUACUGAACUACUGAACUACUGAAAUACUGAACUGCUGAAUUACUAAACUACUGAAUUACUGAACUACUGAAAUACUGAACUGCUGAAUUACUGAACUACUGAAUUACUGAACUACUGAAAUACUGAACUGCUGAAUUACUGAACUACUGAAAUACUGAACUACUGAACUCCUGAACUACUGAAAUACUGAACUGCUGAAUUACUGAAUUACUGAACUACUGAAAUACUGAACUACUGAACUGCUGAAUUACUGAACUACUGAAAUACUGAAGUACUGAACUACUGAAUUACUGAACUACUGAAUUACUGAACUACUGAAUUACUGAAAUACUGAAAUACUGAACUACUGAAAUACUGAACUACUGAACUGCUGAACUACUGAACUACUGAAAUACUGAACUACUGAAAUACUGAACUACUGAACUACUGAAAUACUAAACUACUGAACUACUGAAUUACUGAACUACUGAAUUACUGAACUACUGAAUUACUGAAUUACUGAACUACUGAAAUACUGAACUACUGAAUUACUAAACUACUGAAUUACUAAACUACUGAAUUACUGAACUCUGUCCAGCCUCUCUCAGUGUCAACCCAUGGUUUACAACAUGGACAACCAGUGUUGCUCCAAUCUUAGCUGACAAAUUUGUCCAUGUCCUCCUCCAGGUCUACCUCUUCCUCUCAUCCUCCCUCUCCCUCUCAUCCUCCCUCUUCCUCUCAUCCUCCCUCUCCCUCUUCCUCUCCCUCUCCCUCUCCCUCUUCCUCUCAUCCUCCCUCUCCCUCUUCCUCUCAUCCUCCCUCUCCCUCUUCCUCUCCCUCUCCCUCUUCCUCUCAUCCUCCCUCUC